rnacentral:rRNA from 1 species
GACGAACGCUGGCGGCGUGCCUAAUACAUGCAAGUCGAGCGAGCAAUUUUAGCAGAAUACCUUCGGGUAGGAAGCUAAGAGCGCGAGCGGCGGAUGGGUGAGUAACACGUGGGCAACCUACCCUUUAGCUGGGGAUACCACUUGGAAACAGGUGCUAAUACCGAAUAAGAAGCAAGAGCGCAUGCUCAAGCUAUGAAAGGCGGCUUUAAGCUGUCACUAAAGGAUGGGCCCGCGGUGCAUUAGCUAGUUGGUAAGGUAACGGCUUACCAAGGCGAUGAUGCAUAGCGGAGUUGAGAGACCGCACGGCCACAGUGGGAGUGAGACACGGCCCAAACUCCUACGGGAGGCAGCAGUAGGGAAUCUUCCACAAUGGACGCAAGUCUGAUGGAGCAACGCCGCGUGAGUGAAGAAGGUUUUCGGAUCGUAAAGCUCUGUUGUUGGUGAAGAAGGAUAAGGAUAGUAACUGAUUCAUAUUUGACGGUAAUCAACCAGAAAGUCACGGCUAACUACGUGCCAGCAGCCGCCGUAA